rnacentral:rRNA from 1 species
AUACGUAGGUGACAAGCGUUAUCCGGAUUUACUGGGCGUAAAGGGCGUGUAGGCGGUCUUGCAAGUCAGAAGUGAAAUUCCUGAGCUCAACUCGGGCGCUGCUUCUGAAACUGCAGGACUUGAGUGCUGGAGGGGAUAGCGGAAUUCCUAGUGGAGCGGUAAAAUGCGCAGAUAUUAGGAAGAACACCGGUGGCGAAGGCGGCUAUCUGGACAGCAACUGACGCUGAGGCGCGAAAGCCAGGGGAGCAAACGGGAUUAGAUACCCUGGUAGUCCACGCUGUAAACGAUGAUUACUAGGUGUGGGGGGACUGACCCCUUCCGUGCCGCAGUUAACACAAUAAGUAUUCCACCUGGGGAGUACGAUCGCAAGAUUGAAACUCAAAUGAAUUGACGGGG